CCUACGGGUGGCAGCAGUGGGGAAUAUUGGGCAAUGGGCGCAAGCCUGACCCAGCAACGCCGCGUGAAGGAAGAAGGCUUUCGGGUUGUAAACUUCUUUUUAGAGGGAAGAGCAGAAGACGGUACCUCUUGAAUAAGCCACGGCUAACUACGUACCAGCAGCCGGGGUAAUACGUAGGUGGCAAGCGUUGUCCGGAUUUACUGGGUGUAAAGGGCGUUUAGCCGGGCUGACAAGUCAGAUGUGAAAUUCCGGGGCUAAACCCCGGACCGGAAUUUGAAACUGUUGGUUUUGAGUAUCGGGGAGGCGGCGGAAUUCCUAGUGUAGCGGUGAAAUGAGUAGAUAUUAGGAGGAACACCAGUGGCGAAGGCAGCCUGCUGGACGACAACUGACGGUGAGGCGCGAAAGCGUGGGGAGCAAACAGGAUUAGAUACCCUAGUAGUC
rnacentral:rRNA from 1 species